rnacentral:rRNA from 1 species
AUUGAACGCUGGCGGCAGGCUUAACACAUGCAAGUCGAGCGGGGUGAUGUAGCUUGCUACAUUACCUAGCGGCGGACGGGUGAGUAAUGCUUAGGAAUCUGCCUAUUAGUGGGGGACAACAUUCCGAAAGGAAUGCUAAUACCGCAUACGCCCUACGGGGGAAAGCAGGGGAUCUUCGGACCUUGCGCUAAUAGAUGAGCCUAAGUCAGAUUAGCAAUUUGGUGGGGUAAAGGCCUACCAAGGCAACGAUCUGUAGCGGGUCUGAGAGGAUGAUCCGCCACACUGGGACUGAGACACGGCCCAGACUCCUACGGGAGGCAGCAGUGGGGAAUAUUGGACAAUGGGCGAAAGCCUGAUCCAGCCAUGCCGCGUGUGUGAAGAAGGCCUUUUGGUUGUAAAGCACUUUAAGCGAGGAGGAGGCUACCGAGAUUAAUACUCUUGGAUAGUGGACGUUACUCGCAGAAUAAGCACCGGCUAACUCUGUGCCAGCAGCCGCGGUAAUAC